rnacentral:rRNA from 1 species
AGCUCCGAUAGCGUACACUAAUAUUGCUGCGGUUAAAAAGCUCGUAGUUGGAUGUCUGCCGGACUCUGGCGGUUCGCUUUUCGGCGCUACUGCCAUCUGUCCGGUUACACUUUUUGCCGGAUUCCUGGGGGUGCCCUUUACCGGGUGUCCCUUAGGCGCCGGCAGGUUUACUUUGAAAAAAUUAGAGUGCUCCAAGCAGGCUCCAUACGCCUGAAUAGUCGUGCAUGGAAUAAUGGAAUAGGACGUCGUUUCUAUUUUGUUGGUUCUUCGGAAAUCGACGUAAUGAUUAGUAGGGACAGUCGGGGGCAUUAGUAUUCAGGCGACAGAGGUGAAAUUCUUGGACCGCCUGAAGACUCACUACUGCGAAAGCAUUUGCCAAGAAUGUUUUCA